GCUGCUUGUCUUGUCUCACCGGGCCGGUCGCCGCAGCUCAGAAAGCGUCGGAUCCGGAGAAGUUCUUAGCAUCAUUGCUAGAAGUGUUUCAAGAAGCAUCAGUGAGAAGCAUAGGCUGAUUUAUUAGGCAGAGUUAAAAGUAAAAGAAUAUAGGGAAGGGGCUUCACCUGGAGGAGACACAGCUGUGAUAGAGAGAUCAGACUGACCUAUUUACAAAGGAACAAGACUGGCUUUUAUGGAUUAGCUGAGACCCUUCACAGCCCCAGGAAGCAGCAGCAAAUUCAACCCAACCUUGCUUGG
rnacentral:lncRNA from 1 species